rnacentral:rRNA from 1 species
GCUGGCGGCACGCCUAACACAUGCAAGUCGAACGAAGUAGCAAUACUUAGUGGCAGACGGGUGAGUAACAUGUAGGUAUCUGCCCUUUGGCCUGGAAUAACACGAGGAAACUUGUGCUAAUACCGGAUAAGUCUUUACGGAGAAAGCUUUAUGCACCAUUGGAUGAGCCUGCACUUGAUUAGUUUGUUGGUGGGGUAAUGGCCUACCAAGACUGUGAUCAAUAGCUGAUUUGAGAGGAUGAUCAGCCACAUUGGGACUGAGACACGGCCCAAACUCCUACGGGAGGCAGCAGUGGGGAAUCUUGCACAAUGGAGGAAACUCUGAUGCAGCGAUGCCGCGUGAGUGAAGAAGGCCCUUGGGUUGUAAAGCUCUUUCGUCGGGGAAGAAAAUGACUGUACCCGAAUAAGAAGGUCCGGCUAACUUCGUGCCAGCAGCCGCGGUAAUACGAAGGGACCUAGCGUAGUUCGGAAUUACUGGGCUUAAAGAGUUCGUA